rnacentral:lncRNA from 1 species
AUGUAUGAAGACCAUGCCAUCUGGUGUAAAGGACUAGAAAGAAUCCCAUUAGUUCCUGAGAAGAGAGAAGCUGGUUCGGAGAGGCUCCACAUUUUUCUGCCACCUUCGGUCAAGCAGGAAAAAGAAGAGCUAUGGAAACAAACACAGACAAAAACAACAAAAGCAGGCACCCAACAUAAUACACUGUAACACAGUGUAGCAGAAGAUGGAAGGGGAAUACUGAGCAUCAUAGAAGAAACUGAAAGAGGUUGAUUCUUCUAAUCCCAAGAGAAGAAAGAGGAAAGAACAGCUCAAUAACCAUACAGCAAUAAUGCCAAUAACAUUGCUGUUUAUAGACUGCUGCGGAAAAACUGCAGAGGACUUUGCAUAGCAUGAGAGACCUAGUAAUCUUGUAUAAAAAGGGAAGCAAAAAUACAAAUGUGUGUCCUGGAAGGAGGGCCACCCUCACACAGCAUAUUUUCAGUAUAACUCCUGAGGAAUUGGAUAUUGUGGUUAUUUAAUAGUGGGGAUGUCCACAGAAACUUUCUUGGAUGUUGAUAGAUACACUAGCUCAUGUUAUACAAUUUCCAGACAUGUACCUCACCGCACCAUUAUAUGUAAAGGCCUUUACAUGUAUUUUAUUGGCUGUGAGGAGCACUUUUUGUAUGUUGAAAAAGUAGGUGGAAAUAAAAGGUCCUAUUCUCUAUUAACU